GGCUCGUUGGUCUAGGGGUAUGAUUCUCGCUUUGGUGUGAGACGUCCGAGUUCAAAUCUCAGACGAGCCC
rnacentral:tRNA from 1 species